GAAGGAGAAGGGACAGCUGAGUAACAAAGUCCUGGUACGCAGACGACGAUACUAUUACACUGACAAGAGUGUAAUGAUGAUGGAGACACAAGCCAGAGAAAGGGGGGACCAAACACCAGGCCAGAAUUCUGCAUGAGUCAGAUCCAGUGGGUGCAGAUCAUCAUACAGAUGGUUCAAGUGUGGAUCCACCUAAUAUUCAAGAUUUUCUGUCCUGGGACACUCGGCUAACCAUCAAGAAAGAACACACUCCAGUGGGCAUCCUUUAUCCAUCCAGACCCUCAUACAGAUGGUUGGAGUUUUGAUUCACCUAAAGUACCAUGCAAGAGCACUCAUUUUCCCUCUUGAGACCAUGGUGUGACCUGCAAGGUCGAAUGGAGACUGUAAACAAGACAAUCUUGGAGUCACCUGCAUUCACUGGUCCAGU